GGCAAGAUGGCCGAGCGGUCCAAGGCGCCAGGUUCAGGCCCACCUGAAUUCCAAAAUUCCUGGUCAGAGAAAUCUGGCGCGAGUUCGAAUCUCGCUCUUGUCA